rnacentral:rRNA from 1 species
GAUGAACGCUGGCGGCGUGCCUAAUACAUGCAAGUCGAGCGAACAGACGAGGAUCUUGCUCCUCUGACGUUAGCGGCGGACGGGUGAGUAACACGUGGCUAACCUAUCUCUAAGACUGGGAUAACUUCGGGAAACCGGAGUUAAUACCGGAUAAUCUAUUCAACCGCAUGGUUCAAUAGUGAAAGAUUGUUUUUCUGUCACUUAUAGAUGGAUCCGCUCGGCGUUAGCUAGUUGGUAAGGUAACGGCUUACCAAGGAAACGAUGGGUAGCCGACAGGGGAGGGGGAUCGGCGACACGGGAACUGAGACACGCACCAGGCUCCUACGGGAGGCAGCAGUAGGGAAUCUGACGCAGUAGGCGAAAGCAUGACAGAGCGGCGGCGCGUGAGAGAUGGAGGUCUUCGGAGCGGAAAACUCUGUUAUGAGGGAAAAACAUAUUUGUAAAGAGAUGUGCACGGCUUGACGGUACCUAAACAAGAAGCCACGGCUAACUACGUG